ensembl:lncRNA
GCUACUUAAAGGAUUAAAUCACCCAAAAAUGGAACACAAACAUGUUAGGCUCAAUAACAACCUCGGUUCACUUUCAGUGAGGCUUAUGGAAAAACUAUGAAAGUGAGGUGACUGAAGCUAUGGUUUGAAACAAACCUCAAGCCUUAUCCACUGGAUGAUGUGGCCUUAGACAGUCUACAAGUUUGCCAUUAUAUUACAAAGAUUGAAAAGUUGGAAAGGACAAUCAGCGGGUAUGUGAGAAAAUGGCUUGGAUUCCCGCGUUGCAUCAGUAACAUUUCACUGUACAGUAUGGUAAAACCAUGUUUUCAUUACCUAUUUUGAGUCUAGUGGAUUAAUAUACAGUAAGUGUACAAAAGCAUGAUUAGUAAUGAAACCAUCUAAAUCUGGUGGAAUAGCAAUAACUGCAGUAAAACUAAAUGUGUUAAACCCCUGAUGAAGCUGUAGAGAGUGCUAAAACUGCUCUCAGACAUAUUGUAGGAUAUUGUAGGUUGGAUGCAGCAGCAAGGUAUACAGCUGGCUUUGGAACUGAAGUAAAAGCACCUGUUUCUGAGUUGUAUUAUUAAAGAAAUCUAUGGUGUACUCCUCUUGCCCAAGAACCCUAACCAGUGGAUGGGAGAAGAUCCAUCAUGCCUGCUGUAAAAAAAAAAAAACUCCAGCAACUAGCUGAAAUUUGAAUCAAAUUAACUUUUUAUUCAAGGUGAUAAAUUAGAAAUAUGAUUGAAACUAAAGAUUGAGAAAUGUUAGAAGAAUAGAAUAAGAUCAGUAGAUCAAUAUUGUUAUCCUGAAAUGUAUGACUUCUUAUUU